rnacentral:rRNA from 1 species
UACGGAGGGCGCAAGCGUUAUCCGGAUUCACUGGGUUUAAAGGGUGCGUAGGUGGGCAAGUAAGUCAGUGGUGAAAUCUCCGGGCUUAACCCGGAAACUGCCAUUGAUACUAUUUGUCUUGAAUACUGUGGAGGUCAGCGGAAUAUGUCAUGUAGCGGUGAAAUGCUUAGAUAUGACAUAGAACACCAAUUGCGAAGGCAGCUGGCUACACAAAUAUUGACACUGAGGCACGAAAGCGUGGGGAUCAAACAGG